rnacentral:rRNA from 1 species
AGAGUUCGAUCCUGGCUCAGGAUGAACGCUGGCGGCGCGCCUAACACAUGCAAGUCGAACGAUUAAAGCACCUUCGGGUGUGUAUAAAGUGGCGAACGGCUGAGUAACACGUGGGCAACCUGCCCCUCUCAUUGGGAUAGCCACGGGAAACCGUGGAUAAUACCGAAUACUUCGAGACUUCCGCAUGGAAGACUCGAGAAAGCUCCGGCGGAGAGGGAUGGGCCCGCGGCCUGUUAGCUUGUUGGUGGGGUAACGGCCUACCAAGGCAAUGAUGGGUAGCUGGGUUGAGAGACCGACCAGCCAGAUUGGGACUGAGACACGGCCCAGACUCCUACGGGAGGCAGCAGUGGGGAAUCUUGCACAAUGGGCGAAAGCCUGAUGCAGCGACGCCGCGUGCGGGAUGAAGGCCUUCGGGUUGUAAACCGCUUUCAGCAGGGACGAGGCGAAAGUGACGGUACCUGCAGAAGAAGCCCCGGCUAACUACGUGCCAGCAGCCGCGGUAAUACGUAGGGGGCAAGCGUUAUCCGGAUUCAUUGGGCGUAAAGCGCUCGUAGGCGGUCUGUUAGGUCGGGAGUUAAAUCCGGGGGCUCAACCCCCGUUCGCUCCCGAUACCGGCAGACUUGAGUUUGGUAGGGGAAGGUGGAAUUCCUAGUGUAGCGGUGGAAUGCGCAGAUAUUAGGAAGAACACCAGUGGCGAAGGCGGCCUUCUGGGCCAUAACUGACGCUGAGGAGCGAAAGCUAGGGGAGCAAACAGGAUUAGAUACCCUGGUAGUCCUAGCCGUAAACGAUGGACACUAGGUGUGGGGGAAUACUUCUUCCGUGCCGCAGCUAACGCAUUAAGUGUCCCGCCUGGGGAGUACGGCCGCAAGGCUAAAACUCAAAGGAAUUGACGGGGGCCCGCACAAGCGGCGGAGCAUGCGGAUUAAUUCGAUGCAACGCGAAGAACCUUACCAAGGCUUGACAU